rnacentral:rRNA from 1 species
GAUGAACGCUGGCGGCAUGCCUUACACAUGCAAGUCGAACGGCAGCACGGGAGCUUGCUCCUGGUGGCGAGUGGCGAACGGGUGAGUAAUGCAUCGGAACGUACCCGGAAGUGGGGGAUAACGUAGCGAAAGUUACGCUAAUACCGCAUAUUCUGUGAGCAGGAAAGAGGGGGAUCGCAAGACCUCUCGCUUUCGGAGCGGCCGAUGUCGGAUUAGCUGGUUGGUGGGGUAAAGGCCUACCAAGGCGACGAUCCGUAGCGGGUCUGAGAGGAUGAUCCGCCACACUGGAACUGAGACACGGUCCAGACUCCUACGGGAGGCAGCAGUGGGGAAUGUUGGACAGUGGGCGAAAGCCUGAUCCAGCCAUGCCGCGUGAGUGAAGAAGGCCUUCGGGUUGUAAAGCUCUUUCGGCUGAAAAGAAAUCGCACAGGCUAAUACCCUGUGUGGAUGACGGUAUCAGCAUAAGAAGCACCGGCUAACUACGUGCCAGCAGCCGCCGUAA